CUGGUGAAGAGCGUCACGGAGGACUUUGAGCAGCGGUCUGCGCGAGCAGGAGCAGGGCCACCAGCGACAAGCUCCAGCAGCUCAUGGGCAAGGCGGAGCACCACGAGGGCUACCUGACUCAACAGCACCGGGACCGCGUGCGCUCCCUCUACCGAGAGAUCGACGACAAGGUGGAGGCCAUCGACCUGACGCGCUCCCAGCUGAAGGACCGCGAGGGCCAGCUGAAGACGCUGCGGGACGACUACGAGCGCCAGCUGGAGCAGAUGCGGGACCAGUUCUCCACCCAGCUGGAGGAGACUGUGC